CAGUAACUGCGAGUGAAAAGGAAAAAGCUCAGCGCUAAAUCUCAUUGCUUUAAUUAGUAAUGCGAAGUGUAGCGUAUAAUGCGUAUUAUACAGUAUCGUAACCUGUCUUAAGUUUCCUUUGACUAGGAUUCCAUAGAAGGUGUAAGGCCUGUAAAGGUGGGUUUGAUGCUGUGCGAUGCGUAUUUUGAGUCAGGUUGUUUGAAAGUACAGCCUAAAGUAGGUGGUAAACUUCACCUAAAGCUAAAUAUGUCUACGAAUCCGAUAGCAAACAAGUACCGUGAGGGAAAGUUGAAAAGAACUCUGAAGAGAGAGUUAAAUAGUACGUGAAACCGUAUAUGUGGAAGCAAAUGGCAUUGUCGAAAGAUGGUAGUAAUUAGCCGAUAUAUGGUGUGUAAUAGUGGUAGUAUAUUUUGCUUGUCGAAAGUACGGCUGCUAUUUAUGCGCUAUUUGUUGGUGCACUUAUUAUCAAUGUACUGGUACAUUUGAUGAUCGUGUUUGAUAGAAUAUUUGGUAGCAGUUUUUAACUGUGUCACGAUAUUUUUUGAUGACAUGACUGUUAGGUGUGAUUCUGGUGCAGGUGGAUGUAUGUUGUUACUAUUUGAUCAGUUUGUGUCUUCGCUUGCGAAUGUACUUAUUGAUUGGAUGGUGAUGUCAUUCUGAUAUCUACACUAUACCGGUAUAAAGGACAAUUACCCAUUUGUCCCGUCUUGAAACACGGACCAAGGAGUGUAUUGCAUAUGCAAGUCAUUGAGUGUUAAAAGCUCAUAGGCGUAAUGAAAGUGAAUGAUGCUUUUACAGUAUCUUAUGUGUUAUCCUUUUCUUCGGAUUAGGCGCACCAUAGUCCUGUCCAAUAGACUUGUCUAUGGGCAGAGAAAGAGCAUAUGCAAUGCGACCCGAAAGAUGGUGAACUAUGCCUGAGUAGGAUGAAGCCGGAGGAAACUCUGGUGGAAGUCCGUAGCGGUUCUGACGUGCAAAUCGAUCGUCAAACUUGGGUAUAGGGGCGAAAGACUAAUCGAACCAUCUAGUAGCUGGUUCCCUCUGAAGUUUCCCUCAGGAUAGCUUCAACUAAUGCAAACAGUUAUACUCGGUAAAGCGAAUGAUUAGAGGCCUUAGGGACAUAAAGUCCUUAACCUAUUCUCAAACUCUUAAUGGAUAUGAAGUAGUGGUUUCUUAAGUGAACUACUACAUUGAAUGAUAGUUGAAAGUGGACCAUUUUUGGUAAGCAGAACUGGUGAUGCGGGAUGAACCGCAAGUGGAGUUAAAGUGCCAAAGUAUUUGCUCAUGAGACCCCAUAAAAGGUGUUAGUUGAUAUUGACAGCAGGACGGUGGCCAUGGAAGUCGGAAACCGCUAAGGAGUGUGUAACAACUCACCUGCCGAAUCAACUAGCCCUGAAAAUGGAUGGCGCUCUAGCGAAUCACUUAUACUCCACCGUUAACACAAUUCUUUAAACACAAGUGUUAACGUGUAAGAGGGUUGUAGUGAUGUGCGUUGAAGGUUUACGGCGUGAGCCGAGCUGGAGCCAUCACUAGUGCAGAUCUUGGUGGUAGUAGCAAACAUUCAAGUAAGAUCCUUGAAAGCUGAAGGGAAAAAGGGUUCCACGUGAACAGUAAUUGGAUGUGGGUCAGUCGGUCCUAAGAUAACGGCAAAUGCCGUAUCUAAAUGUGUGUGUUUCCUUUGUGGAUUCGCACGUUUACUCGAAAGGGUAACAGGUUGAUAUUCCUGUACUUUGUGCAUACGGCGUUAAUUGAUCUUCGGAUCUUUUAACUGGGGCGGUAACGUAUAUGAAUUCGUAUUAGUCAUAUAUAACUCGAGUCAGAGAUUUCUUUUCUGAUUUAGAUGUCUCGUCCAUGGAAUGAAUUCACUUCGCGAUAUGGAUUAAGGCAUUGUAAAGCACUACGGUUUUUGUGGUGUCUCGAGCGUUGUGUAUGGCCCUUGAAAAUACGAAGGAUCCCAAAUGAUGUAUGCCAAAGCCGUACCCAUUCCGCAUCAGGUUUUCAAGGUGAGCAGCCUCUAGCUAAUAGAAUAAUGUAGGUAAGGGAAGUCGGCAAAUUAGAUCCGUAACUUCGGGAAAAGGAUUAGCUCUAAGAGUUGGGUUAGAUGGGCCCUUGUUUGAAGCUUGAUGUAAAUCAUCGUGUCUGCGGGAAGUUUUCGGACGGAACGCGGACUGGUAUGAUGCGUGUCUUGUUGACGACUUGGGCUAUGUAAGUUUCGGCUUACGUCGUCUAACGAUUAACAACUGACUUAGAACUGGCACGGACUCGGGGAAUCCGACUGUCUAAUUAAAACAGAGCAGAUAGAUGAUGUUUAUGUGUGAUGACUAUCUGUGAUUUCUGCCCAGUGCUCUGAAUGUUAACUUAAGGAAACUUAACUAAGCGCGGGUAAACGGCGGGAGUAACUAUGACUCUCUUAAGGUAGCCAAAUGCCUCGUCAUCUAAUUAGUGACGCGCACGAAUGGAAUAACGAGAUUCCCACUGUCCCUAUCUACUAUCUAGCGAAACCACAGUCAAGGGAACGGGCUUGACAAAUUCAACGGGGAAAGAAGACCCUAUUGAGCUUGACUCUAGUCUGAUAUUGUGAAGAAUCAUAGGAGGUGUAGUAUAGGCGGGAGACUUCGGUCGACAAUGAAAUACCGCUACUCUUAUUGAUUCUUUACUUAAUCAAUAAUACGGAGAUUGCCUUCGGGCUUUCUUCUUGCAUUAAGUAGUAUACCUUGUGUAUAUUACGAUCCGCAUUGAUAACAUUAUCAGGCGGGGAGUUUGACUGGGGCGGUACAUCUGUCAAACUGUAACGUAGGUGUCCUAAGGCAUACUCAGAGAGGACAGAAACCUCUCGUUGACUAAAAGGAGAAAAGUUUGCUUGAUCUUGAUUCUCAGUACGAAUACAGACCGUAAAAGCGUGGCCUAUCGAUCCUUUUGGAUUAUAAAGUUUAUAUUAAGAGGUGUCAGAAAAGUUACCAUAGGGAUAACUGGCUUGUGGCAGCCAAGCGUUCAUAGCG
rnacentral:rRNA from 1 species